rnacentral:tRNA from 1 species
GCCCCCUUAGCUCAGGGGAUAGAGCACCGCCCUCCGGAGGCGGGAGCGCAGGUUCGAAUCCUGCAGGGGGCGCCC